rnacentral:rRNA from 1 species
GACGAACGCUGGCGGCGUGCUUAACACAUGCAAGUCGAACGGAAAGGCCCUGCUUUUGUGGGGUGCUCGAGUGGCGAACGGGUGAGUAACACGUGAGUAACCUGCCCUUGACUUUGGGAUAACUUCAGGAAACUGUGGCUAAUACCGGAUAGGAGCUCCUGCUGCAUGGUGGGGGUUGGAAAGUUUCGGCGGUUGGGGAUGGACUCGCGGCUUAUCAGCUUGUUGGUGGGGGAGUGGCUUACCAAGGCUUUGACGGGUAGCCGGCCUGAGAGGGUGACCGGCAACAUUGGGACUGAGAUACGGCCCAGACUCCUACGGGAGGCAGCAGUGGGGAAUAUUGCACAAUGGGCGGAAGCCUGAUGCAGCAACGCCGCGUGCGGGAUGACGGCCUUCGGGUUGUAAACCGCUUUCGCCUGUGACGAAGCGUGAGUGACGGUAAUGGGUAAAGAAGCACCGGCUAACUACGUG